rnacentral:rRNA from 1 species
GUGGGGAAUAUUGGGCAAUGGGGGAAACCCUGACCCAGCAACGCCGCGUGAAGGAAGAAGGUUUUCGGAUCGUAAACUUCUAUCCUUGGUGAAGAUAAUGACGGUAGCCAAGAAGGAAGCCCCGGCUAACUACGUGCCAGCAGCCGCGGUAAUACGUAGGGGGCAAGCGUUGUCCGGAAUGCUUGGGCGUAAAGGGCGCGUAGGCGGCCUGGUAAGUCUGGAGUGAAAGUCCUGCUUUUAAGGUGGGAAUUGCUUUGGAUACUGUCGGGCUUGAGUGCAGGAGAGGUAAGCGGAAUUCCCGGUGUAGCGGUGAAAUGCGUAGAGAUCGGGAGGAACACCAGUGGCGAAGGCGGCUUACUGGACUGUAACUGACGCUGAGGCGCGAAAGUGUGGGGAGCAAACAGGAUUAGAUACCCUAGUAGUCC